AAAAAAAAUUAAACGAUGCCCAUGUACCUUGAAAGAGAGUUCAAUAUACAUUAAUACAAAUGUAGAAUGUGUUUAGAAAUUUUAAAACAACACUAAAAAUCAUAGACUUUAGUAUAUAAAGCAUUUACCAAAAAAUUUAAUAUUUUCGUAGGGGUUAAGCCAUAGAUUUUGAGAAAAAUUCAAAAAAAUUAAAAUUUUAUUUUAAUGCAUAGAUGCAUCCUUCACUAACAUAUGAUGAAGGUCAAAGAGGUUUGGAACCUAGGUUGUCUCUGUUUUUCUAGAGAAUAGCGAUUUUAUAGUGGUUAGUCAACUAAUUUAGGGAGUAUUAUGAAGUUUUACUAAAUUAAUUAACAAAAAUUUAAACGAUGCACAUGUAUAAUGAAGGAGAGUUUAAUAUACAUUAAUACAAAUGUAUAAUGCAUUUAGAAAAUUUAAAACAACAUUCAAGAUCAUAGGCUUCAGUAUAUUGAGCAUUUACCGAAUAAUUAACUAUUUUCGUAGAAGUUAAAACAUAGAUUUUGAGAAAAAUUCAAAAAACUGAAAAUUAUACUUUAAUGCAUAGUUGCAUCCUUCACUAACAUAUGAUGAAGGUGAAAGAGGUUUGGAACCUUUGCUGUCUCCGUUUUUCUAGAGAAUAGCGAUUUUAUAGAGGUUAGUCAACCAAUUUAGGGAGUAUUAUGAAGUUUUACUAAAUUAAU